UACGUAGGGUGCAAGCGUUGUCCGGAAUUAUUGGGCGUAAAGAGCGUGUAGGCGGCCCGAUUAGUCCGCUGUGAAAGUCCAGGGCUCAACCCUGGAAUGCCGGUGGAUACUGUCGGGCUAGAGUGCGGAAGAGGCGAGUGGAAUUCCUGGUGUAGCGGUGAAAUGCGCAGAUAUCAGGAGGAACACCUAUUGCGAAGGCAGCUCGCUGGGACGUAACUGACGCUGAGACGCGAAAGCGUGGGGAGCAAACAGG
rnacentral:rRNA from 1 species